GCGCUCACUUGGGCAGCACACAUACUAACAUUGGAAUGAUACAGAUAUUAGCAUGGCCCAAAGAUGACAAGACAAUUUGUGAAGUGUUCCAUAUUAAA
rnacentral:snRNA from 1 species